UACGAAGGGGGCUAGCGUUGCUCGGAAUCACUGGGCGUAAAGCGCACGUAGGCGGCUUUUUAAGUCAGGGGUGAAAUCCUGGAGCUCAACUCCAGAACUGCCUUUGAUACUGAGAAGCUUGAGUCCGGGAGAGGUGAGUGGAACUGCGAGUGUAGAGGUGAAAUUCGUAGAUAUUCGCAAGAACACCAGUGGCGAAGGCGGCUCACU
rnacentral:rRNA from 1 species